CCGCCUCCCGCCGCCGCCGCGGCCGCCGCCUCCCGCCGCCUAGGCUGGCCCCGGCCCGCGCAGCGCCCCCUGCCGGCUGGCCGCAUGCAGCGGUGGCGGAGCGCGGGGCGCUGGGCGGACCCUGGCGGCCUCCCCGGCGGUGGCGGCGGUGGGAGCUGCCGGAGCUUCGGGGAGGAGGCUGUUUCCUGGAGGGGGCGCACACUCCCCUGAGAUCGCCCUUUACCGACCUGAAGCCUUUUCUCUUCUUGUCUUUCAGCCCGGGAAGUGGGGUACCUCUCUAUCCUACCCCAAGGGGAUGCCCGUGGCAUGAGAAGCCCCCAGCGCAUAGCUCCGAGUAGUCCUCACCUUGCCCAUUUCUAACCCCACGGAACCCCUAAUCUCAAGGAACCCCGGACCCCUUUCCGCAAGAAGUUCUUUCCUUUCAUCCAUCCCCAGGAGUUCCCCGUUUAAGCUCUUUCUGAGCCUCCUUCGCCCCUAAGGCCAUGUCCCAGGUCCGCCUCUCACUCCGUAACCCGAGGAGUCCCCUAGCCGCUACCCUGGGGGCCCAGCCCCUCCUCUCCAACUGCUUCCUCUGCAGGCCUCACCGUCGCCUCCUGAAUAGCUUUACGCUCCUUGAGACCCUCAUCUUCGUGGGGCGGGAGACCCUCCUUCCUUGGGUCACCCGGUCCACCAGACUCUAUUCCUCUGAGCGGUGUGGAGGAAGAGGUCUGAUUACAAUGAAGACCCGGGAAACAAGGCAUUCUCUCACUGGGAUUGCUGUGAAGAGCUGCACCUCAGGGAAAUCAGCAUCCCUAGCAGAGGCUUUCUACCCUUGGAAAUGUGUCUGGAACCUGGCCUGCUCCUCAGAAGUAAAUCCCAGGAAGAAACUAGGUCAGUUCACACAGUUCCCCACUUGCUAUUUGUUAAACAGUACGCAGGCCCGCAGGAAGACCGGCUGAUUACCUGAAACACUGUAUCAUGAAAAUGGAGAGAGAACUUAUUAGAAGAGUCCAGGAGUUCAGUCAUGGGUAGGAAGAUGGAACCUAGUCAGAGCCCCUGAAGAGAAAAAGAAGCUACCAAACUACUGUCAAGAGGACAGAAACAAACAGCUGACCAUUUUACAGCACAGAAGUCUCACGGUGACCUCUGAAGAAAAUCUGAACCACUGUACUUCUGUGGUGUCCACCUCUCGACAGACUCUGGAAGGCCCUAUUCCUCUUGUAGUGGCCACUGCUCCUUUGCACCAAACCUCUAUUCUGUGUGUGUCAGGAGUGCGGGGAGUGGGGGAAGGGGGGCCUGAACACAGUGGCCCCAUUUCCUAUGAAUAUAUAUUUUUUUAAUUUCCAAA